GCAUUGGUGGUUCAGUGGUAGAAUUCUUGCCUCCCACGCAAGAGACCCGGGUCCGAUUCCCGGCCAAUGCA